CAGUCGCCGCGGUAAAACGUAGGUGGCAAGCGUUGUCCGGAAUUAUUGGGCGUAAAGGGCUCGCAGGCGGUUUCUUAAGUCUGAUGUGAAAGCCCCCGGCUCAACGGGGGAGGGUCAUUGGAAACUGGGAAACUUGAGUGCAGAAGAGGAGAGUGGAAUUCCACGUGUAGCGGUGAAAUGCGUAGAGAUGUGGAGGAACACCAGUGGCGAAGGCAACUCUCUGGUCUGUAACUGACGCUGUGGAGCGAAAGCUUGGGGAGCGAACAGGAUUAGAUACCCCAGUAGUCCCUGUCUCUUAUAC
rnacentral:rRNA from 1 species